rnacentral:tRNA from 1 species
GGAGAGAUGGCUCAGUGGUUAAGAGCACUGACUGCUCUUCCAGAGGUCCUGAGUUCAAUUCCCAUGCUCUCUU